rnacentral:rRNA from 1 species
UACGGAGGGUGCAAGCGUUAUCCGGAUUCACUGGGCGUAAAGGGUGCGUAGGUGGUGAGGUAAGUCGGAUGUGAAAGCUCGGAGCUCAACUCCGAAAUGGCAUUGGAAACUACCUUGCUCGAGGGUUGGAGGGGGGACUGGAAUGCUUGGUGUAGCAGUGAAAUGCGUAGAUAUCAAGCGGAACACCAGUGGCGAAGGCGAGUCCCUGGACAACUCCUGACACUGAGGCACGAAAGCUAGGGGAGCAAACAGG